GUGGUCCCCAACCCAGUUCUCAUGGACCACCAACAGUCCAGAUUUUGUCACUAUCUCAAUUUGAAUAAAAAAGGGAAAUACAUAAAUCCUGGGCUGUUGGUGGUCCAUGAGGACUGGGUUGGGGACCA
rnacentral:miRNA from 1 species